GGAGAAUGUACAGCUUGUUUAGUCUUUAGAAGAUUUAGUUUAAUGAGUACAGAAUCUAGUGCUCUGGGACUUCUGAUACCUUAUUGUGGUCUCUGAUUGCUACCGCAAUACAAAUAAAAAUAAUAAUUACUAUUAUUGUGCAUGCUUGUGGCUAUUUUUGAGAGUGGAAAGUUAAUAUUUCUUGCAAAAACAUUCCUCAGUACAUGAAUGUUCAGAGUAAACUUUGUAAGGACAAAAUAUUUCUAUUCGUUUGUCGACAAUAGCAAACAUUGAUGCAUGUAAUUGCAGUUAUGAUAAAAGUCCAUUUGACAUGUCAGGCAUUAGUAGGUUUUCUGGAUCAAAUACUGACUAAGGAAAAAAUAUGCUGGAAUUUUCCUUGACAAACACACUUAAUGAAAUCCAUUCAUCAAAAUAGUCUGAAAAGUACCACCUAUUAUACCUCUUUUUUUUCUUUCUGAAAAAAGACCAAGAAAUGAAUUGAGCCUAUUUUUUUUCUUGAUAAUUUAUUUAAACCACAAUGAGACUAUUGUGUUUAAAAAAAGUAAAAAGAAGUGUUUCAGUGAGUUUGAGAAGAAUAACCAACAUAUACCUGGCUUUCUUUACUUGUCUAUAAGUGUUUCCUGCUUUAUGGCAUGAAUGUCAAUGAAAUCUUUACUAGGGGCUACAUCUUCCCAAAUAUUUUCUGUCAAGUAUUUUGAUACUCUUAACAUUUGUCAUUAAAAGUUGUAUUUACAUUUUUUUGCUAUAUGAUUAGUGUAGAAAUACCACGGUGAGAUUUAAUUUAGUCAGAAAGGUUAACAGCUUAACUGUCAUUGAAAACCACUGAUAUAGAAUAAUCUUUUCUGAUUUGCAGCCCCUUUAAAAAAAUUUUGAAAGGCAGGGCAGACCCCUUCGGAAAAUGUGACAUAGUCUGUGGACCCACAUGAGUCCAUGGACCACAGGUUGAAAACCACUGUUCUAUAAUCAAAAAAUAUUUUGAACUUGAACCACUUGCACGAGGAAAGCGCUGGAUUCUUAAACCCUGCUCCCUGGAUGAUAUGGAAGCAGUAAAAGACAGCUUCACCCUUCUGAUAAAUUUGCUGGAAGAGAGAGAGCUUGAGCCUUCAAGAAUGUGAAAAGCUAGGAAAGAGGACUGCUUCUCCAAUCAUCAUUGUACCUGUUUGUUCUGCUCUCAGCUUAAUUAUGAUUUGGUAUCAAGACUGCAUUGCAUCUUACAGUAAAUAUAAACUUUCAUUUAGUGCAGAUCUGUUUGUUAAAAUAAAUGUGCUGUAAAUUGGGUUUAUGAUUAUUCCGGUUAAGUCAUCACACUACUGAAAUAUAGGGAGUUACUCUUCAUUUACCACUAAUUCUGCUCACUGCAUGUUUUCUCCCUGCAUUAUCAUAAAAAUAUACUUGAUACGGAAUUCUGCAUGCACAAAGUCACAAUCUGUAAAGGUUGAAAAAAAAUACCACCAUGUUUUCUGAAAAGUAAGUGUCAUAAGAAUUUGUGGAUAUUACUUUGUGUGUUAGCUAGUUUGCUGACCCCAAGGACUAUCUGGAAAGGACGGCCACUGAGAGUACCCGUAAAUCAUCUUACAAGCAAGGAAAUGUCUUGAUGCAAAGUCUAGUCUGAAGUCUUGCUGAAUGAAAAUACAAAUACCUUGCUGGUUGAUUACUAUUCUAACUAUUAACUCUUUCAAAGGCACAAGCAGUGAAGUUAGUGGGAGUAAGGGGAAAUAAGACACAAACACAGUGCACAUAUCUGCAUUUGCUAUGGAUUUUGGAUUAUCUAGAAUAUAAAAACAGCUUGCAUAAAAUUGCAGCUACAACUUAAGUAGAUAAUAUUUGUUAAAAAAUUAAAUGGGUUGAAUAAAAUAAAGUUUACCUGUUUUUUUUAGUGAUUAUGAUUAAAGAGCAGCAAGAGUAUAUGUAUUUUAACUCAGAUGUGGAUGCAUGCUGGAUAAAUAGCAUGACGUGUGACAUUUCAAUUAAGAGAUCUCCUGUAUCUCUCACUCAAAAUAGUGUUGUUAUCACAACUGUGCUCCUACCUCUAUACUAUAGUUAAGGGUCUGCCAAUAUCUGUUAUAAACCCCUAUUUUCAGGACUUUAAAAAAAGCCUUCAGAAAUUUGAUAAGAACUGAAUGUUAGUAAAAAGUUUAUUAUCAGAACCACAGUUUUGAACAAAUUUGGAAAAAAUCCGUUCAGUUCAAGGAAUGCAAUACAUAUUCCACCCCUGAGCCCCAGGUUUGCAGCGUUUGCAUGCCUUUUGGCAGUUUUAAAAUGAUAUAAAUCAGUUUGGUUUUCAAAUGAGCGUCUUGGUUCAUUGAUUCAUAAUAAAACCAGAUAUCACAACAGGGUGUAGAAAUCAGUAGAUGUUUGGUACAUACCUUGUGUGUUGUUCAUCAUCCACUGAUAUCCUGCUUGAUGCAUACCCUGCAAUGGCAUGUUGAGGGUAUAGAAAUCCAUCUUGAUUCUGUGUUUCAGGUUUUGGAAAAUCUUCUUAAACUACUUUUCAGAGCUUUAUGCAACAUGUCUUUUCACUCUGAAGAUUCAUUUAUUUAAGUUUAUUAUAGUUUAUAACUAGUUUGAGGAUAAGAAAAAAUAGUGAGGGAGAGCCUAUAAAAGGUGGUUCUCUAUUUGUAAUGUACUCUUUGUUAAAUUAACUGGUUUCUAUAACUUUUACCUUUUUAAGUUUCUUUGAACUAUUUGGAUCACUUCUUGCCUCACUUGUGAACUUCCCUGAGGCCCACUUCAAUAUAAGUGUCUGGCCUGGUAGAGGCUACUUCAACUCACUUCCUAUAAUCAAAACUAAGUGGGGGUUCCUAAGUAGCUUCUGAAUUAUUUGUGUAAUAGAAACUGAGAGCUGAAAGUGACCAGAGCGCUAGAAUCUGCUGGAUAGAGAGCAUCUGGGCUCACUGACACUUUCCUCUCCCUCUCUUCCCCUAUCUUUGUAUUUCUUAUCCAUGUGCUGUCCCAAGGCAUCUCUUCUGCAGAUACUCAGGAACUUAAACUGUUCAUGUUACUCAAAACGAGCUCCCAAUUCUCCUUCUAUGAAUUGGUAGCACGCUUGCUGCCCCUCAGGUACUGCUGUGCACUUUGAGUAUGCUCCCUGCACCUGAACUAAAUAGGAAUUGGGAUCUGGUUUUUUAGAGCUUCCAAUUCAUCCUUUCAGGUAACACAAACAAUUUAAAGUUCUCAAGCAUCUGCAAAAGAAGCUGUUUGGAGGAGGAUGAGCGUAAGAAGGGAGGACGGGCUGCACGCAAAAGGGAAGCCUGCUCUGAGGGCAAGAGGAAGGGAAAAGGAAGCAUUCUAAACUUUAGCUGCUUUUCAGUUUAAAAUUAGAGAAUGGGAGGAACAAUCUUUUUACUAUUUUCUGCCCUGUGGCCCAUAUUAGAUGUAAUUAAUUAAAUUCACAGCAGGUGUAAAUGAGACCAACUCCACUUACAUCUUACUGUUGGUGUAAAUUAGUGAAUUUAAUGCAAAGGUCAUAGGGAGUUUGAUAUUAGUUUGGUCAUGAGAUCUCAGCUAUGCACUGUUGGAAAGUGCUACAUAGCAGUGAUAUCAAGAAGGCCCAACUAGCCAAUCAGAAUGUGGCUUUAGCCAUACUCUCUUAUACAGUAUAUUAGGAACUUUUGAUGUUUAAUUCUUUUCUUUAGGAAAACGUGAACUGCACAGGAGCAGUGAAUUUUUUUGUAAUGAUUUUUAAUUUGCAUAUUCUUAGUAAUCACUCUAUACUACAGGUUGAAACAAUACCUUGUGACUGUUAAAGGAUUCAAGAAAGGUGUUUUAACAUUACUUUGAAUAUGGUUCUGUUUGUGAAUGGAUUGUAAUGGAUUUGUAGAUCUUUUAAAUGUUUAAACACUUUCACCUUUUUUAUGGAGGGAUUAAAAAAUUCAUAGCAGUUCAUGUCACACUUUCUUUAUCUAAAGUGUUCUUGAAUAUUCUUAAUACAGAAUCUGUGAACACCACACAAUGUUUAUUCAGAUGACCAAUCUCAAUUACUGUUUUCUCUUCCUGUGCAUUCAUCGUUUAGAUUAAAUAAAUUCAAUCACUAGGAAUGAGCUAAGUUCCAUGCAACUUCAUUAAACAGUGAAUAUUGUCUUUUUAAAAAAAAGAUAUUGUGGUUUAAUGUUCUUAAGCCAUCUGUUAAAUUACUUUCUGGGUGUGUGUUUGUGUGUGUGUGUGUGUGUGUGUGUGGAUGUGCCCACACUGGGCGGCUUCUCAGACCUAUGUCUGUCUGCAGUGUUUCAGCACUCAGAAUAAAAACAUUAUCAAUCAGUAUCCAACAACAGCUGUUCUUGACAUGCUUCUGUCUGACGCCUAAUGUUUUACGACUGGCCUCCUUUGUCUAGGAGUUCUGAGCUGGUCAUCUUGUUGCUUCCAUGUUAUGUCCCGUGCUUGUAUGAACAGAAUUUGCAGUGGUUUUGGAAAUCCUUGUUAGUGUUUUUGAUAGUCUUUCUUGCUGUAUAAUGUGUGAUGUGUCUUAGUUUGCAUAUUCAAACGUGCUGUACAGAAAUCUGUGAUGUAUUAUUUCAUUUACUUUCUGGCGUUUCAUUAUAUUUAUAGAAGUUACAGAUUUUUGUACCUUAUUAGCUACUACAGUUGCCUUUUUGUAAUGGCAAUUAAUUUAUAUUACAAAAGUUUGUAUCUUUUCUGUAAUUGAAUAUUGGUUGAUAGUUAAAUGUCAUAUUAUCCUGACUUUAUACUAAAAAUACAUCAUCUAGACUUAGUAGUUGACCCAUUCAUAUAGGCAACUGCAAGACCAGAGGAACUUGUACUGUCUGAUUUAUACAUUAUUUCCACAUGAAAAUAAACACUGAGUAGAACUGAA